CGUCGCUGUUGCUGCUAUAAAAACUGCACAAGCAGAGAGGAAAGUAAAAACUAAAAAAGGAAAACUCGUAUCCUACUCAAGGAAAUUGUCGCUGCAUGUUUGAGUGGGUCGGCGGGCGCCUCCUCGAACUUAUGUAUACAUAUACCACACCAGUUUAGCCUCUCGGGAACGAGUACAUGCGCCUGCUGCCCACCAGUGGGUGGGUAUACCAGACUAUGUAUACUCGCACAUACAUACAUACAGCAGCAUCAGUCGAGCAGUAAACUCAAGGGCUGAAGGCUGAACCUGAUGGCUGUGGUGGCUUUUAGACUCCUGUGACAUUGUAUUUGAAAAUAUAUUUCAUGCCGGCGGCUCCCCAUUUGGCACCCAGUUUCCCAGCUUCGAGUUUGCCGCCUUGCCCAGUUCUGCAAAUUUCCACUUUCCAUUUGCGAAGGGUCUGCCUGAAUUCUCAUUUCUUGCGUAAAUUGCCCGGCAAUUAUAAUUGUUGUUUUCAGAAUAACACAAUUGUUUAGCUGGCUGAGUUUGCGGCUAGGAGAAGUUAGCAAUUAGACUCACAAGUUGAUUGCCCAACAGCCGUUUCCAUUUCACUCCGACUUCUGAAAUAGUAUCUACCUAAACUGAUUUUGGCCACUCAGGUGUGCGUUUUCCUCUGCAGAUUGUGUGGCAACUUAACGACAUUUUCAGUUGCAAAAAGAAUAUUGGUAAACAUUUUUUUUGCAGAGCAAUGCAAAGAGCACGGAAACAGACAACUUUGCUCUGCAUCGGAAUUUACAAGGCGAACUACGAGUAUUUAAUAAAAUGGAAACUUCAGCAGCAACUUUUAGAUGUAAUUGGUUUAGGGAAACUUUAGGGAAAUGUCAGCUGACUUUAAUUGGAUAGAAAACGUAAGAAAUGUAUCCUUGAAGUAAAACUCUGGAAAGUAAGAGAGAAGGGAUGGAGUAACUUAAAUUAAAUAAACUAUUCACUAUGCUUGAAUAGGAAUAUAAGAAUCCCAUUUAUAAGAAGGUAAAUUAUGUUCGAUAUCUGACAUCCGCCUUUAAUCAUAAAUAGCAAGCAACCACUUUUCAUUGGCCCUUCAACACUUUCCUCUGACUUUGUGUGCCCAGCGCUUCCUUCCCGUUCCUUUCUGCCAUGGAAAUGUCCUUAGUAUCUCCUUUUUGAUUGCGGAAACGGAAAUUAUGGCCAACACUGCCGUCGUUCGGUUUCGGCACUUUGGCCUUUCGCUUUUGCGUUGCUAAAUGUUUUUCAAACACUUUUUGCGUCGGCAAUCAGAUGGAGAAUGCAGUUUGCCGGGUCUGUUGAUUUUGCCCGGGCUAAUAUUGAUUUUCGGUUAAAUUAGUUUAUCUAGGAAAAUUGGCCCUAUGCCAUGACUCGUAAUUACUUCAAGCCGACCUUUAUGCUCCCCGUUGGCCAAGGGCAAUUGGCCAGCAAAUUGUAUUAACCUCGUUGGGCACGCACACAAAAAGAGUGAGCCAUACAUAUAUGGCGGUCAUACUCGUAAUAAUAACAAUAAUAAAAGCAUGCAGGCCAUGUGACAAUGUUGCUUUGGCAUCUGCUCGUUGGCCAUAAUUAAGCGAGUACAAGCGACGCGAAAUUAGUUGAGCAGCCGAGCAAAUCCCACUCAUAGAUAAAUACUAAACAUAAAGCGAACAAAAUGUAGAAAAAAAACAGCAACGAGUGCCGCCUUAUUAAAUUUCGAUAAAAAACCGCGAAAGUGAAUAAAGAAAACGCAAUGAAAAUCAAUAAAACGUAUUCAAUUUCGCUCUGAGUUUUUUCCACCUCCCAUUUGAUUAAUCAUACGCCGCGUGUGCCGCGGUUGAACUCAUUAUCAUUGCGACGUUUGAAUGGAUGACAAUUUGGUGCAAAUGGCGGACUGGCUUGCGGCCUUAAACUCCGACAAGUGUUGCCAAGGACUUUGACCUUUUGAUGGGCGCCGAAGAGCGGAGGACACGGCUCCACGUGGCUACGUCAAGGACGAGCAACACAUCAAAGGCUGCUGUUGCCGCCUAUUGAAAGGUCCUCGAGAGCGACCCCAGGAGCGUAUCCUUCAGCCGCUCUGCUCUUGCUUCCCUGGAUUCCCUUCUGAAAUUUGAGUUGCUCGUCUUCUUGAUAAUUAAAUGAAAUAAAACCAGGCAGGCACCCUCACCACCCUCAACUCAAGUCUUCCUUGGUGCCCAAAAACAUUUACGGAACGCCGCAGAUGAGGUCGGGACUUGGAAUUGCAAAUUGGAUCAAAGGCAUUGCACGUUCCGCUCGCCAUUCUCUAGGCAUUAAAGUGCAAUUUCUUUCGCCGACCGAAAAACCAUUCGGCAGGCACACAAAAACAAUACAGAUAAUCAGGCACAACUUUUUCGGCAUUCUUGGCCAAAAACUUUUCACACAAAAGCGAAUUGCACGGCCCGGCAAAAAGCAACAGCAACAGCAAAAGCAGAAGCAGAAGCAAAUGCGACACAUGGCGCGUGUCUCGCAUUACAACUUUUGCCAAAGUGUAGUUUGUACAUAAUUUAAAUAAUUCUGCCCAGCGCUGACAGUACGAACGUGCUGCUCGUGUCGUGAUUUGAUACUAAACACCAAAGCACUGAAAUGCUGAAAUGCUGAAAUAACCAAACAAACACCCAUACUCGAAUUGCGAUUUGGCCAACGCACCCGGAGCAUCGGGUUUUGGCCUGGUUGAGUCGAAAACAAAGGCAACUGCUGCCAGCCGGCGUUUGCAUUUCGGCUGUCAAAGUAUUUGUCAAAAUGCUGCAUAUUUCGGCGCCGGCAAUGAAUUUCCGAAAUGUUUUCGCCUUCUGCUCUGGACAACUGGCAACAGGGUAGCAAUCAGCUCGUGCAGCGCCGGAAAUGUGAGUGAAGAGCUUCAAGAUCAAAUCAGAUUUUAUGUUUGAGUGACGUAUGCACACAAUCCAAGCUGUUUUCCCCCAUACACUUUAUAGACCAGGUAUAUGUUUGUACAUACGUCCUUGGCUUCGAAUGGAAACUUGACAUUCUGAAUUCCAAUAUGACAGCUAAAUUUAAAGAUGCUCUUAAUCAAUUUCGAUCCAAGCACCAUUUGGAUAUAAAGGCGUCGACCCUUUUCCAUUCCACCAUCACAAUUUUCAUCCAACUCGUUACUUCGGAGCAUACAAACAUACAUACAUAUAGACUAGCUCUUGGCCAUUGCUCAUGGCCUGCAAACUUGUUUGCCAUCUAAUUGCCAUUGGCUUUUAUUUCGGUCUUUCCUUUAUAUUGCUUUUGUUUUAUAAUUCAUCGUGUGUGUGCAACUGCUGGAAAAGUAUUAAGUUGCAUAGAAAAAUGUUCAACAACGAUAUGUGUGGUGUACCAAACAUUCGCGCUCUUCAGACUUAAUCAUAACCAUUAAAAAUGGUAAACCACAUAAGUUGAGUUCUAUAUAUAUCUACAUACAUACAUUUCGGAAUUUUACUUGACAAAGCAAACAUCAUACCCACUUGUUUAAUGAGUGUGCCUGAUUUAACAAAAAAAAAAAAAAACAAUUUCUUUGAAAAUAAUAGGGUUGCUGCUGCUGCUCGCCGCUGUUUGCUGUUCACUGUUGCACAUAUGGUUGCAUUUGAAGUUGUACAACAUUUGUGUAAUAUACCGCCGAACGAGUGAACGAGCAGCUGUUGCCAUGGGGCUCUUUAAAAAACGGCUUUAGGGGCAGGGAAUUUCCGUCGCCGAACAUGUGCUUUCUUCUUUCGGCCAUAAUGGGCUUAUUGCGGAGCGGGCAGAUUAAUCGCAAUUAUCUGGGCCAUUUUAUCAGUCUGGAUUUGCAUGCAUGUACAUACGAUUUUCGAGUAUUUUUCUAUUUCGGGCUGCUCAUUAGCCGGGCACAUGGCGGAGAUAGAAGAUUGCGUGAUAGAUGGACUUGCGGAGCAGACGUGGAUCGCUGGUACUGAUAACACCGGGUGGACGGGGUCGGGAUUCUGGUGGACGGACGAGACACAAGUAUUCUCAAUCUAUGCCAAUUUGGCAAUUCUCGUUCAAACAUUCAAAUGCCAAACAAACGAAACGACUGCCGCGCUAUUGGGUGCAAAACAAAUCAAUUAAGGCGAGCAGCGAGCAACGAGCAACGCCUGCGAAAUUGUUAUAAAUUGACACGGCGAAUGCUCCUCGGUUCCAUUGAAUUAUUUAUGAAUGAAUUUUAUUAGUUGCCCUCAUUGGCGGCUCAUCAGUGUCCGCUGACUUGACAUUAAUUGCAGUCGAAUGGCGAGUUGCGACUUACAGCCGAGCAAACAGUCAAUUAAACGCUCCACAUUUUGCCAAACAUUUGAUUUUAUUUCAGCCCGGUUCAGUUCGUUGGGGCUUCGAUUGGGAGCCAGCCAGCACUUGGCAAUAGAUAAAUGUUUGUUCGGGCCAACAGCUUAACAGCUGAAAACAAACACACAUGCCGCAUUCCCACAUUAAGCGGCCUUGUUUGGCAGCUCAUUUGACAGGCGAACAACAUGAUCGAUGCUUGUUAUUUACUCUUGCUCAUUUUCCCAUUCGACUGCAGCCCGGUGAUUUCCAUUUGCAUUUAGUUAUCAUAAACCAGCGAUUUGCUGCCGUUUCUUUGAUGGAUGGUCGUCAUCCAACGGGUUGGCCAAUAAAACUUGCCCAAGCUGCAAUUUCUCUCCAUCUCGCACUUUCACCGGCACACAAUUUGCAUGUCUGACUUCUCGGCAGUCCGCAGCUGAAUCCAGAAAAUCAUGGGAGGAAAGCAGAAGGAGCAGGAGCUGGAGUCGAGCACCAAACAGGUGCGUUUACCAACCAAAUGGUGAUUAAUGAAAACUGCAAGCCAUGAGCAAUAUACGUAAAUAGAACAAAGCGUACGAAACUAAAUGUCUUGACAAAAGUUAAACGUUUUGAAAAGGCAAAAAAAGGUGACUUAUCAGGCUGAGCGGCUGUCAUUGUUUAUCGCCAAGUACUCGGUGGUUUUCGCUCGUAUGGGAGUGUUAUUUUUAGUUGACAAGCCCAGCACACAAGUCGCCAAGCCACCCACUUCCCACCUCCCACCCACUCAAGCACUCAGCACUCAGUCAAACAAUCAGCAGGCGGUGGCUGUCGAGCAACAAUGGCAAAUGUGCAAUGCCAGAAUGCAGUGACAGCAACAAAAGCCAGUUGACAGUCGUCGAAGGCGGCAUUCUGGCAUUCUAAUGCAACGCAAGCGGCUUAUGCUCACGUUAUAAUAUGAUAUAAGGGUGCCCAUUCCGAUUCCGAUCCCGAUCCCGUCCCACUCCAUCCCAUCCCAUCUGCACACAAGCCAAUCGCGUUGAGCGCAUUAGGCGGCUUGUAAGUAGUAAUUAUAAUUAAAUGCGCAUACCAAAUGCGAGGCACUCAGGCAUUGCUCAUACGCAGCGUUGGUCUAGGGGAGCAUCGGCAGCAGCGCCGCAAAGUGCGCAACACGAGCAGAAAGUGCAAUCACCAUUAGCACAUCCAAGAUCCUGGAAAUGUAAUUAGAUGCCUUCGAAUGCCACAAGGCGGAAGUAAUUGCACUCCGGGAAGUUAUGGCCGCAUUACUAGUAUUAGGCAUAUGGUGAGAAGUAAAAAGCUGAGCUGGCAAGUGUAGCAAAUAAGGGCGUUUAAAGGCCAAUCCCCAAAUGUCAACAAAUGCCCUUCUUGAGCUUCAUCUCUAGAAAUUAAUAACGCAAUAAACCUCAGAAUCUUUACUGCUGUAAGCUGUUAUGUAAUGUUUUGCAUCACUCAUGCGUAAUGCAUAGAUAAACAAUGGACCAGCAUAUACAUGCAUAUAAGCCAUGUGAAUGGCGAUUAGGUUGAUGGCUGUGGUUAUUAAAGUUAUUUAUGUCUUCAGAUUGUGCUGUGCACAAUCUGUGCACUGCACAGGGAGAAUCAGAUAGAUUGGAUAUUAAUAAACUUAACUGGUAUUACAAUACCACAAAUGCAAGGCCUUCGGAAUGGAUUCUUUUGUGUUUAGGAUACGGAAUCCUUUUUCAGACACUGCUCAGCUUUUGAUGUCAGCUUGGCCUUUUAUGGCCGCUGGAUGUCCACUGGGGACUUGGCUUUGAAGCAAAGUUAAACAAUCGACCACCCAGGCAGCAAAUAAACAAUAAGCUCCGCUCUGCGAUUUCAAUUGCCACUGCAAACUCGUCAGCUUUUGUGGCAUCAACGGUUUAAUUGAAAUUGCAU
rnacentral:sRNA from 1 species